rnacentral:rRNA from 1 species
GACGAACGCUGGCGGCGUGCUUAACACAUGCAAGUCGAACGGAAAGGCCCUGCUUUUGUUGGUUUCUCGAUUGGCGCACGGGUGAGUAACACGUGAGUAACCUGCCCUUGACUUUGGGAUAACUUCAGGGAACUGGGGCUAAUACCGGAUAUGAUCUACUGCUGCAUGGUGGGGGUUGGAAAGUUUCGGCGGUUGGGGAUGGACUCGCGGCUUAUCAGCUUGUUUGUGGGGUAGUGGACUACCAAGGGUUUGACGGGUAGCCGGCCUGGGAGGGUUGCCGGGCACAUUGGGACUGAGGUACGGAGCAGACUGCUACGGGAGGCAGAAGUGGGGAGUAUGGCAGAAUGGGGGGAAGCGUGAUGUAGCAACGCCGGGUGCGGGAUGAUGUGUUUCGGGUUGUAAACCGCUGUCGCCGGUGACGAAGAGUGAGUGACGGUAAUGGGUCAAGAAGCAACGGCUAACUACGUG